rnacentral:rRNA from 1 species
CACAGGGAGGUAGUGACAAGAAAUAACAAUACAGGGCAAUUGUCUUGUAAUUGGAAUGAUGGUGACGUAAAAUCUCACCAGAGUAACAAUUGGAGGGCAAGUCUGGUGCCAGCAGCCGCGGUAAUUCCAGCUCCAAUAGCGUAUAUUAAACUUGUUGCAGUUAAAAAGCUCGUAGUUGAAUUUCUGCGUUGCCCGACUCGGCUACUUGCCUUGUCUGGUUUCGCUUUUGGGGUUUUCCCCUUUUUACUUUGAGAAAAUUAGAGUGUUUCAAGCAGACUUGUGUCUUGAAUACUUCAGCAUGGAAUAAUAAAGUAGGACUUUGGUUCUAUUUUGUUGGUUUGUGAACCUUAGUAA